UCCACUCCACAGGUUCUCAUUUGAUUUUUUCUAUCACCAUGCUCUUAGGAAUGGCGUCCCGCAGUGCAUAGCGCCUUCUCUCGUCUGUGAGCACCUCGAAUGCCAGAACGAAGGCCAGUAUCCUCACACCCAUCUUGAACACUUCUAUCAGUCGCUUGGAAACGUGAUGCGAGUGCUUGGAAACGGGGAUGGAUACUUCGAGGCUCUAAUGAAGGCUUCUCGUUUCAAGCUAUCAGAAGGCACUGAUCCUUGUUCCAACCUCAAGAAGAUGGAGGUGGCCGAGGAUAGAGACAUCAAGGACGACCUCUGAUUGUCACUUGGUCUAUCGAUCGUUCCAUUUCAUUUGUGAUUGUUUAGUUUUUUUUUUUCUUAUAAUGUGAGCCAAGGUCUUUUUCCGA
rnacentral:lncRNA from 1 species